UUGCACAUGGGUUAGUCGA
rnacentral:snRNA from 1 species